rnacentral:rRNA from 1 species
GAUCCUGGCUUAGGAUGAACGCUAGCUACAGGCUUAACACAUGCAAGUCGAGGGGCAGCAUGUGGUUGCUGCAACCAAUGAUGGCGACCGGCGCACGGGUGAGUAACGCGUAUCCAACCUUCCCCUUAGUAGAGGAUAGCCCGGCGAAAGUCGGAUUAAUACUCUAUGUUCUUCAAUGCGGACAUCUAAGUUGAAGCAAAGAUUUAUCGCUAAGGGAUGGGGAUGCGUCUGAUUAGGUUGCAGGCGGGGUAACGGCCCACCUGGCCUACGAUCAGUAGGGGUUCUGAGAGGAAGGUCCCCCACACUGGUACUGAGACACGGACCAGACUCCUACGGGAGGCAGCAGUGAGGAAUAUUGGUCAAUGGGCGCGAGCCUGAACCAGCCAAGUAGCGUGCAAGGACGACUGCCCUAUGGGUUGUAAACUGCUUUUAUCAGGGAAUAAAGUGAGGCACGCGUGCCUUUUUGUAUGUACCUGAUGAAUAAGGACCGGCUAAUUCCGUGCCAGCAGCGGC